AUGCUUCCAGGUGCAGUGGUGGAGUCCAUCUCAGCUGCUGUAGCCGAUGGGCUGAAUGGGAACGUGGUGCCCCCAUCAUCCCCUCCUAAGGCCCAAGGGUUUGGAAUACUCAAGAAACUAACCUUUUCUGUAGAGUUAGUGGUGACUAUUAGCCUCCUUCUCUCCUGGAUUACUGCAGGCUUCAUGAUGUUUGAUGUUGUAGAAUAUAAAGGGGUCACUGACAUUCAAGACGUAGUUUUGGAUCCCAUGAAAGCUGUUAAUGAUGCUGUAGAGGGAAUGUCCAACAUGUUCUAUGAGGCUCAAGAAUGUGCAUUUGCUCCUCAUUUGAGUCUGGACCACAUGAAUGCUGUCAAAGAUGUAAAAGACUUAUUUAUGGACUUCCUCUCUGAUGAUGACGGAAACUUUUACCUGAGCUACGUUGACCCGGUGAUUAUUGGCAGGGGUGUGUUCAAUGUCACCAAUAACUCUAUAUGUGGAGUCGUGGGUUACAUACAAGGCACACUCUGUGUUCUAUUGGAUGCCAUAUUGGAUAUCUUACAGGCCCUUAUCCAUGCACUGAACAUCAAUGCAGAAGACAUAGUGCAUGUUAUCAAGGACUGUACAAGUUCUACUGGAACCUACAUUUGGGACCUGCUGCCAGGUAUCCCUCAAGAAGUGAACAUCGAUCCCAUACUGGUUCUCAGAAGAAUGUUUGGGAUUGUCAUUGAGCAGAAGAACAUGCUUGUGGACUAUGUCUCCAACUUGCUAAUAGGCGAUCAAGGGGUCAUUCCUGAGAUGAACUUUGACCCUAUGAAAGUGGUCACAGAUGCAGUGCUUGAGAUUGCAGAUGGGAAAAACAUGUUCAUGGAUUAUCUGUCCAACAUGCUUAUGGAUGAUAAAGAUGAACCUAGUACUAUACCAGCAUCUGUGAUGCAUGUGAUAAGGAAGAAAGGACAGUUUUUGCCACCCCUGGAAAAAGUUCUCAGACAAUCCAAGGAGAGGCAAGCAAGAGAAGAAGUAGUAGAAGAGGUAGAAGUGGUCCUUAAAGCGAUGAGGGAUGCACAAUCCAUGAAAGAGGUAGAAAAUAAGAAAUUGGAGGUCAAGACGGAAAAGAAAGAGGAGCAGGCCGAGGAGAAAGCAAAGCCUGAGGCAAUGCCCAGUGUGAAGAAAGCAGAGAAGACAGGACCCAAAGGUAAGCUAGGCUUGCAGUACUGUUUGUCUCUAUGGCUUCUACCAAAUUAUAAUGGAAUUUACAUAUCUAUAGAAAAUCAAGCCUUCUUUACAUUAUUCUUAACCACAAUAAACAUACUGUAA
rnacentral:lncRNA from 1 species